AACGAACGCUGGCGGCAUGCCUAACACAUGCAAGUCGAACGAGACCGUCGGGUUUAGUGGCGCACGGGGGCGUAAAGCGUGGGAACCCGCCCGUAGGUUCUGAAUAACACCCCGAAAUGGGUGCUAAUACCGGAUAAUGUUUCCGGACCAAAGCUUUGUCGCCUUUGGAUGGGCGCGCGUUGGAUUAGCUAGUUGGUAGGGUAAAAGCCUACCAAGGCGACGAUUCAUAGCUGGUCUGAGAGGAUGAUCAGCCACACUGGGACUGAGCCACGGCCCAGACUCCUACGGGAGGCAGCAGUGGGGACUAUUGGACAAUGGGCGAAAGCCUGAUCCAGCGAUGCCGCGUGAGUGAUGCAGGCCUUAGGGUUGUAACGCUCUUUUACCCGGGAUGAUAAUGACAGUACCGGGAGAAUAAGCUCCGGCUAACUACGUG
rnacentral:rRNA from 1 species